UUUUACGGAGAGUUUGAUCCUGGCUCAGGACGAACGCUGGCGGCGUGCUUAACACAUGCAAGUCGAACGAUGAAGCCCAGCUUGCUGGG
rnacentral:rRNA from 1 species